UACGAAGGGGGCUAGCGUUGCUCGGAAUCACUGGGCGUAAAGCGCACGUAGGCGGAUUGCUAAGUCAGGGGUGAAAUCCUGGAGCUCAACUCCAGAACUGCCUUUGAUACUGGUGAUCUUGAGUCCGGGGAGAGGUGAGUGGAACUGCGAGUGUAGAGGUGAAAUUCGUAGAUAUUCGCAAGAACACCAGUGGCGAAGGCGGCUCACUGGCCCGGUACUGACGCUGAGGUGCGAAAGCGUGGGGAGCAAACAGG
rnacentral:rRNA from 1 species